rnacentral:rRNA from 2 species
GGUUGACCUCGGAUCAGGUAGGAAUACCCGCUGAACUUAAGCAUAUCAAUAAGCGGAGGAAA